rnacentral:rRNA from 1 species
AACGUACGCUGGCGGCACGCCUUAUACAUGCAAGUCGAACGGAGUAGCAAUACUUAGUGGCAGACGGGUGAGUAACAUGUGGGUAUCUUCCCUUUGGUGAGGAAUAACACGAGGAAACUUGUGCUAAUACCUCAUAAGUCUUUACGGAGAAAGCUUUAUGCGCCAAUGGAUGAGCCCGCACUUGAUUAGUUUGUUGGUAGGGUAAUGGCCUACCAAGACUGUGAUCAAUAGCUGAUUUGAGAGGAUGAUCAGCCACAUUGGGACUGAGACACGGCCCAAACUCCUACGGGAGGCAGCAGUAGGGAAUCUUGCACAAUGGAGGAAACUCUGAUGCAGCGAUGCCGCGUGAGUGAAGAAGGCCCUUGGGUUGUAAAGCUCUUUCGUCGGGGAAGAAAAUGACUGUACCCGAAUAAGAAGGUCCGGCUAACUUCGUG